rnacentral:rRNA from 1 species
AUUGAACGCUGGCGGCAUGCCUUACACAUGCAAGUCGAACGGCAGCACGGGAGCAAUCCUGGUGGCGAGUGGCGAACGGGUGAGUAAUAUAUCGGAACGUGCCCAGUCGUGGGGGAUAACGUAGCGAAAGCUACGCUAAUACCGCAUACGAUCUAUGGAUGAAAGCGGGGGAUCGCAAGACCUCGCGCGAUUGGAGCGGCCGAUAUCAGAUUAGGUAGUUGGUGAGGUAAAGGGCUCACCAAGCCGACGAUCUGUAGCUGGUCUGAGAGGACGACCAGCCACACUGGGACUGAGACACGGCCCAGACUCCUACGGGAGGCAGCAGUGGGGAAUUUUUGGACAAUGGGCGCAAGCCUGAUCCAGCAAUGCCGCGUGCAGGAUGAAGGCCUCGGUUGUAAC